UGUGCUUAACACAUGCAAGUCGAGGGGCAGCGGGGGCAGCAAUGCCUGCCGGCGACCGGCGGACGGGUGAGUAACACGUAUGCAACCUGCCCAUAACUUGGGGAUAGCCUUCCGAAAGGGAGAUUAAUACCCGAUGAGACAGGGAUAUCACAUGAUAAUAUUUGUUAAAGAUUUAUCGGUUAUGGAUGGGCAUGCGCUGGAUUAGGUAGUUGGUGUAGGUAACGGCUCACCAAGCCUGCGAUCCAUAGGGGCACUGAGAGGUUUACCCCCCACACUGGUACUGAGACACGGACCAGACUCCCACGGGAGGCAGCAGUGAGGAAUAUUGGUCAAUGGUCGAGAGACUGAACCAGCCAAAUCGCGUGAAGGAAGACGGUAUUAUGUAUUGUAAACUUCUUUUGCAGGGGAGUAAAGUGAGGGAUGUAUCCUUUAUUGUAGGUACCUUGCGAAUAAGCAUCGGCUAACUCCGUGCCAGCAGCCGCGGUAAUACGGAAGAUGCGAACGUUAUCCGGAUUUAUUGGGUUUAAAGGGUGCGUAAGCGGAACGGUCAGUCAGCGGUGAAAANUACCUGCUUCACAGGUACACUGCCGUUGAAACUGCCGUCCUUGAAUGUA
rnacentral:rRNA from 1 species